GAUGAACGCUGGCGGCGUGCCUAAUACAUGCAAGUCGAGCGAACGGACGAGAAGCUUGCUUCUCUGAUGUUAGCGGCGGACGGGUGAGUAACACGUGGAUAAUCUACCUAUAAGACUGGGAUAACUUCGGGAAACCGGAGCUAAUACCGGAUAAUAUUCUGAACCGCAUGGUUCAAAAGUGAGAGACGGUCUUGCUGUCACUUCUAGAUGGAUCCGCGCUGCAUUAGCUAGUUGGUAAGGUAACGGCUUACCAAGGCAACGAUGCAUAGCCGACCUGAGAGGGUGAUCGGCCACACUGGAACUGAGACACGGUCCAUACGCCUACGGGAGGCAGCAGUAGGGAAUCUUCCGCAAUGGGCGAAAGCCUGACGGAGCAACGCCGCGUGAGUGAUGAAGGUCUUCGGAUCGUAAAACUCUGUUAUUAGGGAAGAACAUAUGUGUAAGUAACUGUGCACAGCUUGACGGUACCUAAUCAGAAAGCCACGGCUAACUACGUG
rnacentral:rRNA from 1 species